UUCAUUGACAACUCCCAUUUUAUUUCCAUUAGCAGCUUCAUUCAUAAUUUAAAAAAUAUUACAAGUUUAUAGAUAUAAUAAAAAAUAUUUUCCAAAUACCAAUAUUUCUAGUUAUAUUCCCCACAUCAAACACCAACCACAACUUGUCUACGGAGCCUCUAAGUACAACAGAAGAGUAAUAUGAAAAUGCUGGCAAUAAGGCCCCGGCUAUACCUAAAAAUACAAAGUACAACAUCAAAUGACAUCAAGCCCAGAAUAGAGUACGGCUCACCAAAACCUGAGCUGAGUAGGGAGUAACUGCUAACGAGGACCAAAGUUGCCCACUGAUGAACCACCUGCAUCCAUUGAAGAUGCAGNNNNNNNNNNNNNNNNNNNNNNNNNACGUUAGUACAUAUAGAAUAGUACUAGUAUGUAAAGCUAAAUGUCCUCUUUCAAAAUAGAAUGCCCAUUAAAGAAAUUGAAAAAAAUCAUAGAAACAACAAGUCACAAUCAACCAUAUCCAAAUGUCAAAUUAAAACAUAACAAUUUUCCAAAUACGAAAUUAAUAUAUAUUUUUGGUUAGGAGAUCAUUAGCACCGAUAUACCACCGUGUUUUUAGCACGGAGUCCGAUCACGCCCGAUCGGCCAGGACAUCUCCCCACGAACAAUGUGGUUUGACAUGUGAUGCGACAAAAAAAAUGUUACCAAGAGUAGUACUACCAUGUGCGCAACAUGGCAUCCGAUCUCCACCCGAUCAGCUAGGUCGCCUUCCCACAUAUGCUGCGUGGGUUGACGUUUCCAAUUCACAACUAUUAUCAGUUUCAUCCCAAUUAUGGGGAAUAAUAUCAACCCAUCAAUCACAUCUCAAAUAAAGGGAAUAAUCACAAUCCUCUCCUACACCGGCACGUAUAGUUUUAGGUGUGGGUUGUUACAACCCACCCUUCCUCGAUUUGCUAAUGAUACUCCGAAAAAUAUUAUUUUUGUUUUUUCACACAAAGGUAACAUAGAUACAAAUGUAUUUACCUCAUCAUCUUUCACAUUAUAUAAAUCUUUACUAGUAUUUUCAACAAAUCACAACAACAAUAUUUCCUUGGCUCUUUUGGCCAUUCACAAGAUUCUUUAUUGAUGGCACGGUGGCCGUAUUUCAUAUUCCACAAUUUCAUAUCUUUCCUUCCAUGGAUAAUCAUCAUAAAUAUCAACAUAAAUAAUAUUUCGAAAAUCAUAAUUUUAAGUUCGUUAGAAAUGAAGGCUUUAAACACAAUAGAUUUCUUUCCAAGAAAUGGAGUUAAAUGAUUGGCCAUCGAAGAGCAAGUUAAAAUCAUAAACAAGUAGCACACCAAUUAUUCUUGAAAUAUUUUUUUCCAAAAAGGGCAAUACACAAUUUUCACUCACGAAUAUGUAAGAAAGCAAAACACAUUAAACAUACUCACAAAGCAUAGCAUUAGUUAAAAUAGCCACAUUGGGGUAUGACUUGAAGACAUACGCUUUUAGGAAAAUCUAAUUUUGAAGUAAUUUUGGAAUAGUUGAAUCAAGGCUCGUUUCAUAAUCGUUUUCACAUCAUCUCAUUUCUUUGGCACCACUAGCCACAAGUAUAACUUUCAUUCUUUACACGAUGGCCACACUUUAUAUCUUCAACUCACUUCUUUCACUUUUGAGAAUCUUUAUAGAUUAUCAACAACAAGGCAUUUCCAAUCAAGACUUUAGGUACACAUAUGAGCAAUUAAGAGUCUUAAGCAUAUCGAUUUUUCUCACACAAUUUGGCAUACUAGCUUUUAUUUGGAACACGACUCAAAGCCAUAACAAUUUAAUACACAACCCAUACUUUGAGCAUAUAUAUUUUGACAUAAGUAUCAUUCGGAAUAGUCAAGUUUAUAAGGAAUAACUCGGAAUAUAGGAAUUAGGAACCUGAGCCAACCAUAGUUGAAACUUACGGGAACAUCAUAGAAUUCAUUUCUAAAAGAGUAGUUUAGCCAACAUACCUUGAUGGAGCUCUUUAGUGCUACUAAAACCACCAACUGCUCUUAAAACUUCAAUCUACAUCAACAUAAUUCAAAUGGACCAAUAUUAGUAAAACUUUCCAGGUUUUUGGUGGUUUUGGCAUUUUAUCAAACACCUAGAGUGCGUAGCAUUCAACUACAUCUAGUAAUGUAAUUUCUUCAUCCAAAAAUCCCUCCUUCCCACAAACAAGAUAUAAUACAAUAUCCUUUGAUUACUAACUGACGUCUUUAGCACCAUUAUAAUCAUCAAUGAACUCGCAUCCACCAAAUUUUACUAAUUAACUCAUUACGAAAUUUCUAAAACACCCAAUAAUCUAGUUUAAGUAUUUAUGGCUUCCAAUCACCAUCUCAUAAAUGCUAGUACUUACUCCUUGCUUAUAUAUUCACUAACAAUCCAUGCAUGUAGACCAAAUCUACAUCAACAUAAUUUAAUUAGACCAAACCUUAAAAGUCAACUUUUAGGGUGUUCUUGAGAUUUUGAAGAAAUCCUAUGGAAUCUAAUACAAAACCUUGUUGUAACUAGUGAUUGAGAAGUGGAAUCAUCAUAAAAACACACUUAAAAACUCACCUUAUGUGUGUAUUGGAAGCCUAGACCGGAUGGGUGAUGGAGAGAAAAGCCCUAGUCUUGAAAUCGUUUUAUUUUUCUCUCUCCCCGCUCAUGUAUUAAUAGGCCCAGGUACAGUAUUUUUCCACUGGUACUAUCCCUGUGCUAUAAGGCUUUAGCUCACCGGUUUGCUAAAAUUUUCAGCUUCCCUCAUGUGCUAUAUCUGCGCUAUGGGGAGAUAGCUCGCUAUAUUUUCUUAAGUCUUAUUGCUUUGAAAUUAACAUCCAAGUUUUUCCCAUUAUUACAACACUAAAAGAUUAAUAAAAGUAAUUAUCCCAUAGUAUCCAAAUAACUUUAUUAACUCUAGUAAUUCUCAUGUGGUUCGGGUCUAAAUUAAAUUGUAUUCCUAAGCUCGAAAUCGCUCGAAUUAGCAAUAGAAAUUCAAGGGGCCUUACACAUUAGCCUACCGCGGCACCACAAACCUCGAGUUAUUGGUAAACAUUUAUGGGGACUUACAUUCUCCCCCUCUUAGGAUCAUUCGUCCUUGAAUGAGGAGUAGAGCCCACCCAAAACACCCAACAUAAUUCAUCUCCUCCUUUCACACAUCGCAAUCCCCCAAAUUUGACUAACUCCCAAAUUUUCCAAAAAUUUCGGCAGAGUCUCCUAUGUAAUUAGGCAUAUCCACCUGCCAGAGAAUCACCAAAACCAUCCUAACAACAUAUCCAUAACUCAACAACGCAUCACAGUAUAUAUCAACAACACUGAUCUCAACAUUAAGGGCAUUACAUUAAUAGAAGUGGUAUCUAGACAUGAUUUGCACAUAUUUAAAUCACAACACAUAGCAAAUACCCUUUUGAACCACAACCAUUUGGUUAUACAGGCAAGUAAGAAUACUUCCUUUACUUUGACGGAGGAAGAUCUCAAUUUCUGGACAUAUCUAACAGGGAUGAUAAUUACUUACCUCCUAUAAGCCAAUUAACCCAUUAAAUUCACCUUCAAUAGUUUCCACCGGAACGAUAGGCAAAGGAUUUCCAACAACCUUCUGAAACCUAGAUACAUGAUGCAUCGGGUGCAUGGAGGACAACGAUGGGAAAACAUCAUACUCAUAGUUUGGCCUAUUUCCUUCAAUAUUUCAUAAGACCUAAUGUGACUACACAUACUUUACCUUCCUUAACAAUUCACCCAAUAUAUUCAUAGAGAAAAUCUUGAAAAUAACCCGUUCACUUUGUUCAACUCUAAAUCCUUAUGCCGAACACCCAAACUAAACCUUUGGCGACCUCCAAUAAUUACUCUAUGAUGUGCUAGCUUGAAUAUUACCAUAAAACUUCCUAUCCAAUAUAUUUGAUCAUGGGAUGAUGCUUCUUCUUUGACAUGUUUGAACCUUUAACCCCCAUAGGUUACCAUAAAUAGGAACAACAAGGUCCGAGAUUGGACUGGAAUUAUUCAAAAUCCAUCAAUGUGCUGAGCAGGGCAUUUCAGGAGGUUAUAUCCUAAGGGACAUGAAGGUUACUACAAAUAGCACUGCCAUGGUUAUUCAUUGUGAUGACUUCAUUGAUUCGACAAAUGAGGCAUAGAGUUGCCUAGUAGGCAUUGAUAAUGUAGGGACCAUGUUCAUGAUUCUGAAAUUUAAAAGAAAUGAGUCAUUUUAGACAUGUGACAUAUGGGAGGAAUGAUCGGGAGGAUAAAUACAUUAGCGUCAGUUAUUCUUGGAAGACUAUGAGUCAUGAAAAUGACAACAAUAAUUAUUUCAUUCCAUAUGUACCUUGUUCGACAAUAGUAGGCCUCAAAGAGAAAUAGCCAAGUACGUGACACCGGUCGCCUCUUGGAAUGUAGGAAAAAUCAGUUUAACUCGAAAUGAGAAUAUUCUAGCACCCUGAAUGUGAUAUGGGUUUCAAAAUACAUGAAGUUGCAUUAUGCUCCUAACAGUAACUAGAAUAAGGAAUCUAUGCCACAAGCCCAUGAGGAUGAAAAAAAGAAGUUGAACACUUGUGAGAUUAUUAUCAUUUUGACAGCUUAACCCUUCACAAUAGCUGAUCCUAUAUGAGAGGACUAGAGAUACAACAAACUUGUCUUUCAAAUCAAUAUGCUCAUGAUAUGUGCUAGAACUUUAAACAUCCACCUGAGGUUAGGAGGGAAAGGUCGUGAUAAGGCUACUUAACUUUCAACCACACACGAGCGAAACCAUGUAGAUAGGACAUUUUAACAUUGGGGUGAAAUCAUGUAUUGGUUAGAGAGAAUGAACACUUUGCUAUGAGCUAGACGUGUCUUUGCCAUAAUAACUCGCAAGCCACAAUACUAGGCUACUUCAUGGGCAACUACAAUACUAGGAACAAAGUGAGCUACUUACUGCGGAAUGAUCUAAGUGGAUAUGAAAGUCAUACUGAGAUGGGCAAACAAAAGAUCUUCCUUUGACGAAUUUUUGAAAAUCUCAAAUUUCCCGGAAACGUUAUGCAGACAAGUGACCCCUUUCAAUUGACAGGUACACAUAUGAUAUGUGUUGAGAUAUGCUCUCAUGUUACUAGACAGUGAAAAGGAUUCAUGAUAAUAUUCACAAAGGAGUAAAGUGAUUGUUCAAACCAUAGGAGCCACAUUCACCGGAGAGAAAAAGAGUGGCUCAAGAAGGAUCUCAACACUAGGCCGCUAUACAUUGGAUUUGAUACCAGAUAGGUAAAAUUUAUGACGGUGCAUGCAAAAGCAUAAGUGAGCAGAUGUUAUCCAUUUGAAUCAAAAGGUUCUGUAAGAAAUUCAUUAGGUAUAGUCCCUUGUUGAGAAUUUAGGGAAGCAGUGGAAAGUAUUAACCUAGGUUAUAACUCAUUCCAAGGAAAUCAUUAUAGAACUCAAUUCCCCAAGAGGUUGUAAAUAAGAGAAUUUGUGAUAGGGUGGCUUCAUGAAUAAUGCGUAUUGUUUAGAAAGUAAGUACAUGUAAUGUUUUGUGAUUCAAUUUCUUGUUAAGACCAUGUCUAUGUAGGCUCUUCAAUAUAGAUGUACAUAUACAUCAAGGAAAAUCUUCUGGCGCUCAGAAUGAUAUACUAAGGAGUGACUUACUUGGUAACUUUAGAUUGACGGGGCAGUGACUUAACUGAUGCCCCUCGACUCCACAUCCGUAACAUACAUUUGUACCAUAGUGACAUACCCCUGAAUGGCAUCUCCCACACUUCUCACAAUGAGGAUGAGCAAGCUAACUCGCCCCACUGACCUGUUAUUUGCCCUUUUUUGAAUAAGUCAUAAGAAUCCCUCUUAUCUUUCCUCCAGGACUUCAUGGCAGGAGUAACAAUAUCUGUACCGAUUUGCUUCGUGGGCCUUUGGAAUUUCCCAGGCCUACUACCCCUAACACACUCCUGAGCAUACUCACAACACGACGCAAAAUGUUUCCGCCCGCAUAUCGGGCAGACCGGUAUAGGUGUACCCAACCAAGGGCAUUUGUUCUUCUUGUGCCCUCUAUUUUCACGACCAUAACAUAUUUCAAGAGUCAUCCAACACGUCCCAAGUGGCGCUUCUUACAAACAUAACAUUCCGGCUUAUUGGAACAAACAAACCUCUUUCGUUUCUUAGGUUCUCUCACCACAUGAUCCGGUGGCGUGGUGACAUUAAUAGGAACAAGGACAUUUUUCCUUAGCAACUCGUUCUUUCAUUCCAUCCUCGCUGCCCCUAACCCGUGGGUUACUCAUAUGAAAAAUGAGAUAUGACGAGGAAAUUAGCUUCCUAUCUUGAGCUCUAUCGUACGAUUUGGAGUACCAAAGAAGGGUGACAUUCCUAAAUUCCCAUGUAGACUCCUAAUUAUAGAUGUGGUUGAUAAGACACCGAUAAGAAGGACUUUACUAGAAACGGCUUUAAGACAUCCUAGGAAACUUUAAAACCUUAGGCUCUGAUACCAUGUUUGUCACGCCCCGAACUCGGGGAACGCGACCGACGCUCAACCGAGUGAACCCGGCUGAGCAAACCUGUUAGAUUUCAUUCUACCCAAAUUCAUCCAUGAAUAAAGAGGAGAUGCACUCCAUUAAUCAAACACUCAAAAGAUUUCAUUAAAAACUCCCACUUCAUUUCCAUUAGUAGCUUCAUUCAUAAUGUCCAAAAUAUUACAAGUUUAUAGAUAUAAUGAAAAACAUGUUUGCCAAAUACCAACAUUUCUAGUUCAAUUCCCCAUAUAAAACCCCACCCACAACCUGUCUACGAGCCUCUAAGUAGAACAGAAGAGUAAUACGGAAAUGCCGGCACUAAGGCCCCGAGUAUACCUAAAAAUACAAAGUACAACAUCAAAUGACAUCA
rnacentral:lncRNA from 1 species